rnacentral:misc_RNA from 1 species
GAACUCUAAAACUUUCCAUUUCUGUCAAGAAAGGGUCAUCUUCUUCAAGUAUCAUUUCGUUGCACUCCAAAAAACUCACAAUCUGUAUUACUAAGUUUAGGAAGAUUACAAAUGUAGAUUACAAAUGUAGAACAGCUGUUAGCAGGAUCCUAUAUGAGAAGUUGGACUUGUAAAUAAUUGCAUGCAAAAGUUAUUAGUUUGCUUAAUCUACUAGGUUUGUGCAUUUACCGUAUAUGCUCCUACUUAUGUAUUUCUUUAAUUGAGGUGUAGACCAUGUAAUAUCGUCAUGGCUUAAUUAUGCAAGCUACCAUUGCAUGAGGAUGAAUUUUGAACUUUCAAGUCGUUGAAUGCAGGGGUCCUG